rnacentral:rRNA from 1 species
GAUGAACGCUGGCGGCGUGCCUAACACAUGCAAGUCGAGCGGACGCACGAGGAGCUCUCUCUUCUGCCGGUGGCGGCGGACGGGUGAGUAACACGUGCAUAACCUACUUAUAUGACUGGGGUAAUUACGUGGGACCAGAUACGCUAACAGAGCAUAUGUCGAACGGGUUGGAUCAAUAGAUCUACAGGGCUUUGCUGUUUCUUUUAGACGGUGUCGGAUUAGCUAGUUGGUGUGGUAACGGCCUACCAAGGCGACGAUGCGUAGCCGGUCUGAGAGGAUGAUCAGCCACACUGGAACUGAGACACGGUCCAGACUCCUACGGGAGGCAGCAGUGGGGAAUAUUGGACAAUGGGCGAAAGCCUGACGCAGCCAUGCCGCGUGAGUGAAGAAGGUCUUCGGAUCGUAAAGCUCUGUUAUUAGGGAAGAAAAGCAGUAUGUGAAUACCUGGAUGUCUUGACGGUACCUAAAGAAUAAGCACCGGCUAACUUCGUG